rnacentral:rRNA from 1 species
AUUGAACGCUGGCGGCAGGCCUAACACAUGCAAGUAGAACGAGUGGCGGACGGGUGAGUAAUGUCUGGGAAACUGCCUGAUGGAGGGGGAUAACUACUGGAAACGGUAGCUAAUACCGCAUAACAUCAGAUGUGCCCCGAUGGGAUUAGAUAGUAGGUGGGGUAACGGCUCACCUAGGCGACGAUCCCUAGCUGGGCUGAGAGGAAGACCAGCCAAACUGGAACUGAGACACGGGCCAGACUCCUGCGUGAGGAAGCAGUGGGAAAUAUUGCACAAUGGGCGCAAGACUGAUGCAGCCAUGCCGCGUGUAUGAAGAAGGCCUUCGGGUUGUAAAGUACUUUCAGCGAGGAGGCGUUACUCGAAGAAGAAGCACCGGCUAACUCCGUGCCAGCAGCCGCGGUAAUAC